rnacentral:rRNA from 1 species
CCUACGGGAGGCUGCAGUGGGGAAUAUUGGACAAUGGGCGAAAGCCUGAUCCAGCCAUGCCGCGUGUGUGAAGAAGGCCUUCGGGUUGUAAAGCACUUUCAGUGGGGAAGAAAGCCUUGGGGCUAAUACCCUCGAGGAAGGACAUCACCCACAGAAGAAGCACCGGCUAACUCCGUGCCAGCAGCCGCGGUAAUACGGAGGGUGCGAGCGUUAAUCGGAAUUACUGGGCGUAAAGCGCGCGUAGGCGGUCUGAUAAGCCGGUUGUGAAAGCCCCGGGCUCAACCUGGGAACGGCAUCCGGAACUGUCAGGCUAGAGUGCAGGAGAGGUAGGUAGAAUUCCGGGUGUAGCGGUGAAAUGCGUAGAGAGCGGGAGGAAUACCAGUGGCGAAGGCGGCCAUCUGGACUAACACUGACGCUGAGGUGCGAAAGCGUGGGUAGCAAACAGGAUUAGAUACCCGGGUAGUC